rnacentral:rRNA from 1 species
AUUGAACGCUGGCGGCAGGCCUAACACAUGCAAGUCGAGCGGAUGAAGUGAGCUUGCUCCUGGAUUCAGCGGCGGACGGGUGUGUAAUGCCUAGGAAUCUGCCUGGUAGUGGGGGAUAACGUCCGGAAACGGGCGCUAAUACCGCAUACGUCCUGAGGGAGAAAGUUGGGGAUCUUCGGACCUCACGCUAUCAGAUGAGCCUAGGUCGGAUUAGCUAGUUGGUGGGGUAAAGGCCUACCAAGGCGACGAUCCGUAACUGGUCUGAGAGGAUGAUCAGUCACACGGGAACUGAGACACGGUCAAGAGUACUAAGGGAGGCAGCAGUGGGGAAUAUUGGACAAUGGGCGAAAGCCUGAUCCAGCCAUGCAGCGUGUGUGAAGAAGGUCUUCGGAUUGUAAAGAACUUUAAGUUGGGAGGAAGGGCAGUAAGUUAAUACCUUGCUGUUUUGACGUUACCAACAGAAUAAGCACCGGCUAACUUCGUG